AAACUCAAAGGAAUUGACGGGGACCCGCACAAGCAGCGGAGCGUGUGGUUUAAUUCGUUGCUACACGAAGAACCUUACCUGGGUUUGACAUAUAGGUUGUAGGGAACUGAAAAGGGACCGACCUUCGGGGAGCCUAUACAGGUGUUGCAUGGCUGUCGUCAGCUCGUGUCGUGAGAUGUUCGGUUAAGUCCGCUAACGAGCGCAACCCUCGUCGUAUGUUAUAUGUGUCAUACGAGACUGCCGGUAAAAGCCGGAGGAAGGUGAGGAUGAUGUCAAGUCAGCAUGACCUUUAUAUCCAGGGCUACACACACGCUACAAUGGUCUGUACAAUGGGUAGCCAAGCCGCGAGGCGGAGCCAAUCCUGAAAGCAGGCCUCAGUUCAGAUUGCAGUCUGCAACUCGACUGCAUGAAGCCGGAGUUGCUAGUAACCGCAGGUCAGCAAUACUGCGGUGAAUACGUUCCCGGGUCUU
rnacentral:rRNA from 1 species